ACACCGCCAACCGGUCGCUCUAGAGUGCU
rnacentral:sRNA from 1 species